rnacentral:rRNA from 1 species
UACAGAGGUCCCAAGCGUUGUUCGGAUUCACUGGGCGUAAAGGGUGCGUAGGUGGCAUGGUAAGUUUGAUGUGAAAUCUCCGGGCUUAACCCGGAAAUGGCAUUGAAUACUACUGUGCUGGAGGUUUGGAGGGGGGACUGGAAUUCUCGGUGUAGCAGUGAAAUGCGUAGAUAUCGAGAGGAACACCAGUGGCGAAGGCGAGUCUCUGGACAGUUCCUGACGCUGAGGCACGAAGGCCAGGGGAGCAAACGGG